UCUGUCUACAAAAAUAAUCUCACUAACUCUAUGGGGGAAGAGAGCGAAGUUAUAGCUUAGGGAUGAACAAAAUCAAGUCCUCGUGAAGUGUGAGUGUCUGCUGGUUUCCUUUUAAUGCCUUCACACAUCUGGAUAAUGUCCUAAAAUGAACACCAUACUGCUGGUUUCACUGGUAGAAAUCAGACCUUGUUUCAGAUGUUAAACAAGGUUUUGCAAUGUCCAUAUUAGAACUGCUUUAGAAACAAAGACAUUCGGGCUGUUGAGAACUGGACAUGCCCGUUUCUUACUCUAGCUAGUCUGUCGUUCGUAUACAGCCCAGCCCACACCUUGGGUUCCUGUCCUGUGACAUCACAGUAUGUUAUAACAUCCUGUCCUGUGACAUCACAAUAUGUCUGAACAUCCUGGCCCAGAGUUUCCCUAUCACUUGCCAGGAGAGCUUCCAGGAAGUUCCACCUGUCCGCCUCCAUAUGUGAACCUGAAGGAUUCAAAGGCAGAAGGUGCUUAACUUGGGCCUGGUGGAUUCGUUCUCAGCUGAAUAUUGCCUAAGGGGUGGUUCUGAGAGCCCCGCCAUUGUUCUAUAGGUCAAAAAUACUUAUAUGGAGCACGAAAGCUUGUUAUUCGAGGACCUACGUUAAAAGAGACCAUUCACUCAGAAAAGUCUCUCAAAUCCUUUAAUGUGAUGAUAAUCAGGAGUAAAUAUAGGGUCAUAUUGCUAGAGUUUCCUGCUGCUCUGAUGGAGUUAUAUAUUCUGUAGUUCAACCAGUCAUUUGUUAAAACAUUAGCCAAAAGCUGUUACAAUGUCAUAGUUUUUGAUAUACAUAAAAUAAUAGCAACUUUAUAGUAUUCUUUCUGAGAGGAAAUUACUGUGUUCUUGUCGAUUUGUAAGUAAAAAAUUAAACAAAAUAAACAAGAUGAAAUUAGGUUUGUUAUUUAAAAAAGUACUAGCAUGCAGCCUCAAAUAUACAUUAUUUAAACCAGAGAAUGGGCUGUAUUUUUUAUAUUGAAAUAUCUAAGAAGCUUUGUUAUGAAACACUAUUGGAAGAUCGCAAUGUAACAAUGAGUUAGUCCAGUCCAUAUCUAUGUGAAAAGGCCUCUUAUUUCUAAGGUCAUAGACAUGAACACUGUCCUGUUUCUUUCUUGAUUUACAGUACCAGUCAAAGGUUUGGACACACCUACUCAUUCAAGGGUUUUUCUUUAUUUUUAUUAUUUUCUACAUUG
rnacentral:lncRNA from 1 species